UAUGAUGAGAUUGCAUGAUAGCAUCAUUAAAGAUUUAUCGGUGUACGAUGGGGAUGCGUUCCAUUAGGUAGUAGGCGGGGUAACGGCCCACCUAGCCAACGAUGGAUAGGGGUUCUGAGAGGAAGGUCCCCCACAUUGGAACUGAGACACGGUCCAAACUCCUACGGGAGGCAGCAGUGAGGAAUAUUGGUCAAUGGACGAGAGUCUGAACCAGCCAAGUAGCGUGGAGGAUGAAGGUCCUACGGAUUGUAAACUUCUUUUAUAAGGGAAUAAACCCUCCCACGUGUGGGAGCUUGUAUGUACCUUAUGAAUAAGCAUCGGCUAACUCCGUGCCAGCAGCCGCGGUAAUACGGAGGAUGCGAGCGUUAUCCGGAUUUAUUGGGUUUAAAGGGAGCGCAGACGGGUCGUUAAGUCAGCUGUGAAAGUUUGGGGCUCAACCUUAAAAUUGCAGUUGAUACUGGCGUCCUUGAGUGCGGUUGAGGUGUGCGGAAUUCGUGGUGUAGCGGUGAAAUGCUUAGAUAUCACGAAGAACUCCGAUUGCGAAAGGCAGCACACUAAUCCGUAACUGACGUUCAUGCUCGAAAGUGUGGGUAUCAAACAGGAUUAGAUACCCUAGUAGUCCAC
rnacentral:rRNA from 1 species